CUCGUAGGCGGCCAACUAAGUCAGACGUGAAAUCCCCAGGCUCAACCUGGGAACUGCGUCUGAUACUGGAUGGCUUGAAUCCGGGAGAGGGAUGCAGAAUUCCAGGUGUAGCGGUGAAAUGCGUAGAUAUCUGGAGGAAUACCGGUGGCGAAGGCGGCAUCCUGGACCGGCAUUGACGCUGAGGAGCGAAAGCCAGGGGAGCAAAC
rnacentral:rRNA from 1 species